rnacentral:rRNA from 1 species
UACGGGGGGUGCGAGCGUUGUCCGGAAUUACUGGGCGUAAAGAGCGCGUAGGCGGCAUGAUAAGUUCUGUGUGAAAGUCCCCGGCUCAACUGGGGAGGGUCGCGGAAAACUGUCAAGCUUGAGUGUCGGAGAGGGAAGUGGAAGUCCCGGAGUAGGGGUGAAAUCCGUAGAGACCGGGCCGAACACCAGUGGCGAAGGCGGCUUCCUGGCCGACGACUGACGCUGAGGCGCGAAAGCGUGGGGAGCGAACGG